AUUGAACGCUGGCGGCAUGCUUUACACAUGCAAGUCGAGCGGCAGCACGGGGGCAACCCUGGUGGCGAGCGGCGAACGGGUGAGUAAUACAUCGGAACAUGCCCAGUCGUGGGGGAUAACACUUCGAAAGAAGUGCUAAUACCGCAUACGUCCUGAGGGAGAAAGCGGGGGAUCGCAGGACCUCGCGCGAUUGGAGUGGCCGAUGUCAGAUUAGCUAGUUGGUGGGGUAAAGGCCUACCAAGGCAACGAUCUGUAGCUGGUCUGAGAGGAUGAUCAGCCACACUGGGACUGAGACACGGCCCAGACUCCUACGGGAGGCAGCAGUGGGGAAUUUUGGACAAUGGGGGCAACCCUGAUCCAGCCAUUCCGCGUGAGUGAAGAAGGCCUUCGGGUUGUAAAGCUCUUUCGGCAGGAACGAAACGGUGAGCUCUAACAUAGCUUGCUAAUGACGGUACCUGAAGAAGAAGCACCGGCUAACUACGUG
rnacentral:rRNA from 1 species